GGCGACCGGCGCACGGGUGAGUAACACGUAUCCCACCUGCCGAUAACUCGGGGAUAGCCUUUCGAAAGAAAGAUUAAUAUCCGAUGGUAUAUUAAAACCGAAUGGUUUAACUAUUAAAGAAUUUCGGUUAUCGAUGGGGAUGCGUUCCAUUACUUUGGUGGCGGGGCAACGGCCCACCAAGACUACGAUGGAUAGGGGUUCUGAGAGGAAGGUCCCCCACAUUGGAACUGACACACGCUCCAAACUCCUACGGGAGGCAGCAGUGAGGAAUAUAGGUCAAUGGACGAGAGUCUGAACCAGCCAAAUAGCGUGAAGGAUGACUGCCCUAUGGGUUGUAAACUUCUUUUAUAUGGGAAUAAAGUAUUCCACGUGUGGGAUUUUGCAUGGACCAUAUGAAUAAGGAUCGGCUAACUCCGUGCCAGCAGACGCGGUAAUACGGAGGAUCCCAGCGUUAUCCGGAUUUAUUGGGCUUAAAGGCAGCGUAGGGGGAUUGUUAACUCAGUUGUGAAAGAUUGCGGCUCAACCGAAAAAUUGCAGUUGAAACUGACAGUCUUGAGUACAGUAGAGGUGGACGGAAUUCGUGGUGUAGCGGUGAAAUGCUUAGAUAUCACGAAGAACUCCGAUUGCGAAGGCAGCUCACUAGACUGCAACUGACACUGAUGCUCGAAAGUGUGGGUAUCAAACAGGAUUAGAUACCCUGGUAGUCCACACAGUAUACGAUGAAUACUCGCUGUUUGCGAUAUACAGUAAGCGGUCAAGCGAAAGCAUUAAGUAUUCCACCUGGGGAGUACGCCGGCAACGGUGAAACUCAAAGGAAUUGACGGGGGCCCGCACAAGCGGAGGAACAUGUGGUUUAAUUCGAUGAUACGCGAGGAACCUUACCCGGGCUUAAAUUGCAUUUGAAUAAUCUGGAAACAGGUUAGCCGCAAGGCAAAUGUGAAGGUGUUGCAUGGUUGUCGUCAGCUCGUGCCGUGAGGUGUCGGCUUAAGUGCCAUAACGAGCGCAACCCUUAUCUUUAGUUACUAACAGGUCAUGCUGAGGACUUUAGAGAGACUGCCGUCGUAAGAUGUGAGGAAGGUGGGGAUGACGUCAAAUCAGCGCUGGCCCUUACGUCCGGGGCUACACACGUGUUUCAAUGGGGGGUACAGAAGUCAGCUACCUGGUGACAGGAUGCUAAUCCCAAAAACCUCUCUCAGUUCGGAUGGAAGUCUGCAACCUGAGUUCGUGAAGCUGGAUUCGCUAGUAAUUGCGCAUCAGCCAUGGCGCGGUGAAUACGUUCCCGGGCCUUGUACACACCCCCCGUCAAGCCAUGAAAUCCGGGGGUACAUGAAGUACGUAAAAGCAAGGAGCGUCUUAGGGUAAAACUG
rnacentral:rRNA from 1 species